UACGGAGGGUGCAAACGUUGCUCGGAAUCAUUGGGCGUAAAGCGCACGUAGGCGGCUCGUUAAGUCGGAUGUGAAAGCCCUGGGCUCAACCCAGGAAGUGCAUACGAAACUGGCGAGCUUGAGUAUGGAAGAGGGUCGCGGAAUUCCCGGUGUAGAGGUGAAAUGCGCAGAUAUCAGGAGGAACACCCAUUGCGAAGGCAGCUCGCUGGGACGUUACUGACGCUGAGACGCGAAAGCGUGGGGAGCAAACAGG
rnacentral:rRNA from 1 species